UACGUAGGGUGCGAGCGUUAAUCGGAAUUACUGGGCGUAAAGCGUGCGCAGGCGGGCUUUUAAGCCAGACGUGAAAUCCCCGGGCUUAACCUGGGAAUGGCGUUUGGGACUGGAAGUCUGGAGUGCGGCAGAGGAGACUGGAAUUCCUGGUGUAGCAGUGAAAUGCGUAGAUAUCAGGAGGAACACCGAUGGCGAAGGCAGGUCUCUGGGCCUGUCCUGACGCUGAGGCGCGAAAGCUAGGGGAGCGAACAGG
rnacentral:rRNA from 1 species